GAUAAUAUCAGGUAAGAUGAGGUCUGUAUGAGUUGGUAUAGAGCCGGUGGAGGGGUGCUGGAGAGAGCAGCAGAGUAGCAAGAGACUAUGGCCAGGUGACAGAGGACCUAGUAAACCAUGUUAAGGAGUUUGAACUUUAUCCUGAGGGCAAAAGGGGAGCCAGUGAAGGGUUUUAAGGCGAAGAGUGGCAUAGUGUGCCUAGAGUCUGGAAAGUUGCCUCAGCUGCUGCGUGCAAGUUUGGGAAGAGGAGAGCCCAGAGAGAAGCCUGGAACAAGACCCCAGCAUGCGGGUCCUGCCUCAGGGCCUUUGCUCUGGCCCUUCCCUCUGCCUGGACUCCUGCUGCUGUUUCUCUGAUUCAGAUGUUGCCACAGAUGUCACUGUCCCCCCUCUCCCCACCAAGAAACUGGUAACACGGGCCUUUUUGGCUGGAUGACGAGUACUGCCUGAAUUUCGUACCAUGUGUCUAUUCAAAUAAAUUGUUAGUUCAAAUAAAAAUGUCUCCUUGGAGACAUUCCUUUCUGGAAAGCAAACUUGCCUGCUUACUUCCUCUUAUGGGGCGAUAAUUUUCCCUUAUGAAGUAUAUAAUACAGUCUGUAAUUGCCAUGGGUUGUUUUGUUUUGUUUUUAAUCUCUUUUUUAGUUUAUUGUCUCUCCCCCUUGUGAGGACAUGGACUUUGCCUUGUCUUACCUACCACCUACUAGAGUCCUGGCACAUAGUAGGUGCUCAGUAUUUAUUGACAGUGAUGAAAAGAAGGUGGUGGGGGGCAGGAAGGAUGCCUGGGCUGAUAAUGGAGAGUUACCCUACAAAGCAGGAGGUGAAAGGGUUGGGCAUAGCUCCAAGCAGGAGGGAAGAGUUGGCAGUUUGAGGGCUCUGAGAAGAUCAGGCUGAUGGGACCAGGGGCAAGAAAUCCAGGGUGUGAGGCAGGCAAGACUACACCCGUGUUACAUAUGAGAAAUCUGAGACUCAGAAAGGGCAAGAGACGGACCCAAGUUGCCCAGUAGGCAAGGAUUUGAGUUUAGAAUCCAGGUCCCAACUCAAGGUUAUGUAGAACCUCAUGGUUACCGAGCACCUAUAUGC
rnacentral:lncRNA from 1 species